UGAGGAAUAUUGGUCAAUGGGCGGGAGCCUGAACCAGCCAAGCCGCGUGAGGGAAGAAGGCCCUAUGGGUCGUAAACCUCUUUUGUCAGGGAACAAAAGCGAGUAUGUAUACUAGUCUGAGUGUACCUGAAGAAAAAGCAUCGGCUAACUCCGUGCCAGCAGCCGCGGUAAUACGGAGGAUGCGAGCGUUAUCCGGAUUUAUUGGGUUUAAAGGGUGCGUAGGCGGCGAUGCAAGUCAGCGGUAAAAGCCCGGGGCUCAACCCCGGCGAGCCGUUGCAAACUGACAGUGCUAGAGAAGGCGAGAGGUACGCGGAAUGCGCAGUGUAGCGGUGAAAUGCUUAGAUAUUGCGCAGAACUCCGAUUGCGAAGGCAGCGUACUGGCGCCUGACUGACGCUGAGGCACGAAAGCGUGGGGGAUCGAACAGGAUUAGAUACC
rnacentral:rRNA from 1 species